CAGGCACAGGCAUUCACUCUCCCUUGUGGGGGGAGGGGCUUAAGAGACCGUUUUGGGCUUUAGCGGAAAGGGGGGAGGGACUGAGAAGUUGUCGACAUUUACAUAUCCUGCCUACAGCACCUUUAA